rnacentral:rRNA from 1 species
AUUGAACGCUGGCGGCAGGCUUAACACAUGCAAGUCGAGCGGGGUGAUGGUGCUUGCACUAUCACUUAGCGGCGGACGGGUGAGUAAUGCUUAGGAAUCUGCCUAUUAGUGGGGGACGACAUCUCGAAAGGGAUGCUAAUACCGCAUACGUCCUACGGGAGAAAGCAGGGGAUCACUUGUGACCUUGCGCUAAUAGAUGAGCCUAAGUCGGAUUAGCUAGUUGGUGGGGUAAAGGCCUACCAAGGCGACGAUCUGUAGCGGGUCUGAGAGGAUGAUCCGACACACUGGGACUGAGACACGGCCCAGACUCCUACGGGAGGCAGCAGUGGGGAAUUUUGGACAAUGGGGGGAACCCUGAUCCAGCCAUGCCGCGUGUGUGAAGAAGGCCCUAUGGUUGUAAAGCACUUUAAGCGAGGAGGAGGCUCUUUUGGUUAAUACCCAAGAUGAGUGGACGUUACUCGCAGAAUAAGCACCGGCUAACUCUGUGCCAGCCGCCGCGGUAA